AACGAACGCUGGCGGCAUGCCUAACACAUGCAAGUCGAACGAGACCUUCGGGUCUAGUGGCGCACGGGUGCGUAACGCGGGGGAACCUGCCCUUAGGUUCGGAAUAACUCCCCGAAAGGGGUGCUAAUACCGGAUAAUGUCUUCGGACCAAAGAUUUAUCGCCUUUGGAUGGGCCCGCGUUGGAUUAGCUAGUUGGUAGGGUAAAAGCCUACCAAGGCGACGAUCCAUAGCUGGUCUGAGAGGAUGAUCAGCCACACUGGGACUGAGACACGGCCCAGACUCCUACGGGAGGCAGCAGUGGGGAAUAUUGGCCAAUGGGCGAAGGCCUGAUCCAGCAAUGCCUCGUGAGUGAUGAAGUCCUUAGGGUUGUAAAGCUCUUUUACCCGGGAUGAUAAUGACGGUACCGGGAGAAUAAGCACCGGCUAACUCCGUG
rnacentral:rRNA from 1 species